rnacentral:rRNA from 1 species
UGAGGAAUAUUGGUCAAUGGGCGAGAGCCUGAACCAGCCAAGUCGCGUGAAGGAAGAAGGUUCUAUGGAUUGUAAACUUCUUUUGUAAGGGAAUAAAAAAGAGUACGUGUACUCUAUUGUAUGUACUUUACGAAUAAGGAUCGGCUAACUCCGUGCCAGCAGCCGCGGUAAUACGGAGGAUCCGAGCGUUAUCCGGAUUUAUUGGGUUUAAAGGGUGCGUAGGCGGACUUAUAAGUCAGCGGUGAAAGUUUGCAGCUUAACUGUAAAAUUGCCGUUGAAACUGUUAGUCUUGAGUGUAAAUGAGGUAGGCGGAAUGUGUUGUGUAGCGGUGAAAUGCUUAGAUAUAACACAGAACACCAAUUGCGAAGGCAGCUUACUGGGAUACAACUGACGCUGAGGC